UGAUUUCAUUUCAACUUUCCCUCUCAUCUCGUUCCUCUCUUCCGCGUCUCUAAACCUCCGAAGACUCCUCUCGUUCAAAACCUACUAUCACGUUCCCUCUCGUUCCCUCUCGUUCCCUCUUAUCUUUAAUUUCUCGGCAUUCCUCCCUCCAAACACUCUGAGAACACUGCUCCGCGCCCAUGCUUUUCUCGGCUCCAAGAAUACUCCUCCCUCCGCGCGACUGUGGUUGUGGUUUAGGCUAUAGAGAGAAGGAGAGCUAGGUUAGGGAAAGGCGAAGGCCAGUGAACUGAAAGCAUUGUUUCUACGGCUGACCAAGUAGUUAUAGAACCUUCGGAGACUGCUUCUGCCUCCGCUGCCUCUUCGUCGAAAUCUCCGAAGUCUGACCAAAUUGGUGUGGAUUGUGUUUGGAUUGGUGGGGAAAUCAGCGGCAUUAGCACGAGAGAGAGGAGGAGGAUGGGAUUUGGAAGGGUGAGACCUCGCCGACCUUGGUUUCGACGGAGUGUCCAAUGAUGGUAACAGACGAGACGGAUUUCGAAGGUUGUUCUCUGGCGAGGCAUCAGUUCUUAAAGAUAGUCUGCCAAUUGGAAAAGAAGCACAUGCUUGGAGCAUUUUCGUUGCUCAAGGUUAUUGAGUCUGAGCUUUAAGCAUACUUGUCUGUAAUUGAGGGACGGGUGGUCAUUGCUUGGCCCUGAUCCAAGGUGCCUCUGAUGUUCAACAACAAGGAGGAGUACAUGACAGUGAUAAUUUUUUGCAUGCUAUCAGAGACCUGCUAAAAAUAUAUUCAAGAUUGUCCAACUUCGUCACUGCCUCUCAUUUGGAAGGAUCCAACAAAAUUUCUUUGUUUGACAACACGUCUCAAAAGCUUAAGAUCUAAGAUCUUUAAUGAUUCAUCUUCCAUGAAAGUUGCAGACAUUGAAGACAUUAGAAGAAACUGAGCUUCUUUUAUUUUUAAGUGUUAGUAGAAACUUGGCUACAAUUCAAUAGUGUAUGUACAUUAAUGUAAUAUUUGGAUUUAAUAUUUAGUUUCAUGUAUAAAUGAUGUAUUAAAUAUUAGACUAUUUAAUAUUUGAAAUGAAUUCUAUUUUGUUAGUUUCA